AUGCUGGACUGCAAAGCCAGCAAUCGGCAAAAAGCAAAACAGGAAGCUGUCACAGAUGAAAUGGCUCUGCCCCUCCAAUCCAAAUUGCAUGUCCAAGCGCCCUUGGUGACUUCCCGCUGCUUCCUCACUCAGGCCCUGCAGCCCCCUGCAUUCUCAACAGACUUCACUCUUCUGCACGCCGCCUCCACCCUGUAUGCUGGACUCCCUCAGCGACGAGAAAAACAAGCCCACGUCUGUCUCCCUCACGCCCACCGCCCCCACCUUCCCACAGAAACAGCCCCGAGAAACACUAACAAAGACAGGGAGCGGAGUCGAGGCACAGUUGUUCGCGGCGAACUCACGAAAUACACAGGCAGUGAGGCAAUCGAAUCCGGCAAAGGGAAAGGAAUGAGACGACACUGGGAGAAGCGGGGGGUACUCGCCUUUCGAUGUCUGGUCUUUCACUGCCCCUCACUCGCUCCCGCGGUCAUUCGCAGACCCCCGAAGUCGCACGUCCCCAGAACUGGACACCCUCGUGACCCCUGCCUGUGCUCAUACCGAGCCCUGCGUCGACAGAUGCGUGGAGUGCCAACUCGGGACCCGGUGAUUCGAGUAGGUCGCCUCGUUGCUCCAAAUAAUGACACGCUGCAAGGAGAUGCCUUUCUAGAACUAAAUUUUGGGUCUAGUUUCUGCAGUCUUUUGGAUGACACCAACUCCCCCCAAACAAAAACACACUCAGUUCUUGUCUGUGCGUGCCACCACCCCACGGAAGAUUCAAUGGACAUGGAUGUGAGCCCCCUGAGGCCCCAGAACUAUCUUUUCAGUGGUGAACUAAAGGCCGGCAAAGAUGAUCACUUUAAGGUGGAUAAUGAUGACAAUGAGCACCAGUUUUCUUGAAGAACAGUCAGUUUAGGGGCUGGUGCAAAGGAUGAAUUGCACAUUGUUGAAGCAGAGGCAAUGAAUUAUGAAGGCAGCCCAAUAAAAGUAACACUGGCAACUUUGAAAAUGUCUGUGCAGCCAACAGUUUCCCUGGGGGGCUUUGAAAUAACAUCACCCGUGGUCUUAUGGUUGAAGUGUGGUUCAGAGCCUGUGCAUAUUAGUGGACAGCACUUAGUAGCUGUGGAAGAAGAUGCAGAGUCAGAAGAUGAAGAGGAUGAGAAUGUAAAACUCUUAAGUAUAUCUGGAAAGAAAUCUGCUCCUGGAGGUGGUGGCAAGUUUCCUCAAAUAAAAGUAAAGCUUGCUGCUGAUGAAUUUGAUGAUGAUGAUUUUGAUGAUGAGGAAACUGAAGAAAAAACUCCAGUGAAGAAAUCUAUAUGAGAUACUCCAGUCAAAAAUGCACAAAAAUCAAACCAGAAUGGAAAAGACUCAAAACCAUCAACACCAAGAUCAAAAGGUCAAAAAUCCAUCAAAAAACAGGAAAAAACUCUGAAAACACCAAAAGGACCUAGCUCUGUAGAAGACAUUAAGGCAAAAAUGCAAGCAAGUAUAGAAAAAGGUGGUUCUCUUCCCAAGGUGGAAGCCAAGUUCAUCAAUUACGUGAAGAAUUGCUUUCGGAUGCCUGACCAGGAGACAAUUCAAGAUCUCUGGCAGUAGAGGAAAUCUCCUUAAGAAAAUAGUUUAAACAGUUUGUUAAAAGUUUUCCAUCUUAUUUCAUUUCUGUAACAGUUAAUAUCUGGCUGUCCUUUUUAUAAUGCAGAGUGAGAACUUUCCCCAUCAUGUUUGAUAAAUGUUGUCCAGGUUCCAUUGCCAAGAAUGUGUUGUCCAAAAUGCCUGUUUAGUUUUUAAAGAUGGAACUUCACCCUUUGCUUGGUUUUAAGUAUGUCUGGAAUGUUAUGAUAGGGCAUAGUAGUAGUGGUGGUCAGACAUGGAAAUGGUGGGGAGACAAAAAUAUGCACGUGAAAUAAACUCAGUAUUUUAAUAAAGUAA